rnacentral:rRNA from 1 species
UACGUAGGGGGCAAGCGUUGUUCGGAAUUACUGGGCGUAAAGGGCGCGUAGGCGGCACGGCAAGUCGGGAGUGAAAGCCCGGGGCUCAACCCCGGAGGGUCUUCCGAAACUGCCGAGCUAGAGUGCGGAAGAGGCAACCGGAAUUCCCAGUGUAGCGGUGAAAUGCGUAGAUAUUGGGAAGAACACCAGAGGCGAAGGCGGGUUGCUGGGCCGACACUGACGCUGAGGCGCGAAAGCUAGGGGAGCAAACGGG